rnacentral:lncRNA from 1 species
UUUUGUUCUUCCCAAUGAUGUAAUUCAUGAUAUAAGCAAGAAGACCUGUUACCAUCAGGAUCUCCAUGUAAUAACUCUCCCAGCUGUUCUGAAGGUGAGCAGGGACAUUAACUAUUGUUAUGGGGUCUUUAUUUUUGCUAGGAGAUGCAUCUGGUUUCUCUUCAUAACCUUCAAACUCCUCAUCAUCAUAAGGUUCACUCUCAGUGUCACCUUCCUGUGCAUCUGUGUCAAAGUCCUCCUGAUUCUCAUCCUGACCUUCAAGCUCUACAGUGGCUUCUUC